rnacentral:rRNA from 1 species
CCUACGGGUGGCAGCAGUCGAGAAUCAUUCACAAUGGGGGAAACCCUGAUGGUGCGACGCCGCGUGGGGGAAUGAAGGUCUUCGGAUUGUAAACCCCUGUCAUGUGGGAGCAAAUUAAAAAGAUAGCACCGCAAGAGGAAGAGACGGCUAACUCUGUGCCAGCAGCCGCGGUAAUACAGAGGUCGCAAGCGUGGUUCGGAAUCACUGGGCGUAAAGCGUGCGUAGGCUGUUUCGUAAGUUGUGUGUGAAAGGCGCGGGCUCAACCCGCGCACGGCCCAUGAUACUGGGAGACGAGAGUGAUGGAGGGGGAAACGGAAUUCUCGGUGUAGCAGUGAAAUGCGUAGAUAUCGGGAGGAACACUCGUGGCGAAGGCGGGUUCCUGGACAUUAACUGACGCUGAGGCACGAAGGCCAGGGGAGCGAAAGGGAUUAGAUACCCCGGUAGUC